UCACAUUCCCGUGAUUUUCUAAUCGGAUUAGAACGGUUUCAUGUUUUGGAAAAAAAACUCUGUUCUCGACGGCGAAGAGCACGAGGUGAAAGGCGGCGCGGUGACGGGGGCUGCUCGGUGGCAAGUCACCGGCGGUACUCGCCGAUAGUCAGGCGGUGAGCGGUUUCGGAGGCGAGCGGCCAGAGUCUUUGGCGGUGCCGGCGGCGAGUGGACGGCAGCCGUGGGGUUCGGCGGCCUGCGUUGUGGCCUCGGUGCAGGGAACCACCGCGGGUGGCCUCGGCGGCAUGCGACGCUGCAGGUGGCCUCUAUUUUGUACUCGGAGCCCCACCACUGCUCAGAUCUGGGAGGCAAGCUCAACCAUGGCCCCUUCUGUAGCAGCGCUCGGCUUUCGUCGACGGCGAUAGGCAACCUCGGCAGCUGGCUGCUCGGGAAAAACAUUCCGGGGAUAGCAAGUAAAGCCUGCUCCCGCUCCCACGCCCAUCCUCAACUUACCGCGGCACCAUGGCGUCCAGAAGAUACCACUACGUGCCUGCAUCCGCCGUCCCGGAUCACCUGCGGCACGUUGGUUUCCUCAACGACCGCUAGCCCCGAACAAGGUUAAGGCUCUAGUCUUUUAGCCUCUUCUCCACCCUUCAUUUUUUUUCUCCAAAUCUGGAACUAUGAGCCAUUAGAAUUGGGUGAUUUAGAUGAAUUUUUAUACUAACUGAAGCAUACGAAUGGGGCCUUACAGCUUUUCCAGGAAACAUAUAUAGUGUUUAUUUGGGGAACUUUCCGUGAGAAUUUAGUAUGACUGGCACAUGGAUGUAUGCUUGCACUGUUGUAUGCCUAUUUAGAAGUUAGAACUAAUGCAAAGAAUGGGCAAAUACUAUUUACAUCAAAUGUCUAUGUCCGUGUUUCAUCUUGCAGGUAACAGAGUUGGAAAAUUCACAAUGUAGGAAACGAGGGAAGCUCACAAAGCCCAGUUCUCAUGGAAGAACACCAAGAGAGGAAAGCUGGGAAUAAAUGAGGUAGUUUCAAUCGGACACAUUGGUGGAGCUUCUUCAGAGCCUAAUAAAAGUUUGGGGUCUGCUUGGAGCUAAAAGGUUUUGGUGGAUAUACAAAUUUGUUGCUCUAAUAUAUGCUCUAAGAUAUAUGCAUACAAUUUGGACAGGAGCCCCCUGCCGUUUAUUUAGUGCUCCAUUUUUUCAUUGGCAAGCAUCCUGCCUUGACUAAGUAAAAUAUGUGUAAAGAUUGGCCAAAGUUCAUUGCUCAAAUCGAGUCCUGGUAGCAACAAGGAAACUGUUGAUAGCACCUGAAUAAGGAAGGCCAUUGGCGAACUAGCAUGUCCUAUUUAAGCUGAUAAAGAGGUGGCUGGAUCUGAUAGUGAAGAUGGUCCCACAACGAUAGGAGAAGAGGAGAGGGGAUUUCUGAGGCACAACAAGCGGCUGAUGAAGGUUCUUUGGUCAGACAGGAGUGUGCUCAGCUGGAGGACAUCCUUUUGGAUUAUAGUUACUACUUUGCAUCUCGAUAGAACUAGUUUUAUUUGCGUACUAGUGUUGUAUGUGGUAAAAAUUGAUGGACAAGAUCUGCAGCCUCUCUUGUACGUCCUCUCCUCUCCCAUCCUACAACAAAGGUCACCUCAAUUUGGCGUCUUGUCUAAAGAGUUUGUAAUUAACAUCACCAUCCUGCUUGUAAGCUCCCGGGAUUGGCAAUUAUUGUGAAGUACAAAAUCUAUAUAAUUUGUACUUCACCAUC